rnacentral:rRNA from 1 species
GAUGAACGCUGGCGGCGUGCCUAAUACAUGCAAGUCGAGCGAACAGAUAAGGAGCUUGCUCCUUUGACGUUAGCGGCGGACGGGUGAGUAACACGUGGGUAACCUACCUAUAAGACUGGAAUAACUCCGGGAAACCGGGGCUAAUGCCGGAUAACAUUUAGAACCGCAUGGUUCUAAAGUGAAAGAUGGAUUUGCUAUCACUUAUAGAUGGACCCGCGCCGUAUUAGCUAGUUGGUAAGGUAACGGCUUACCAAGGCAACGAUACGUAGCCGACCUGAGAGGGUGAUCGGCCACACUGGAACUGAGACACGGUCCAGACUCCUACGGGAGGCAGCAGUAGGGAAUCUUCCGCAAUGGGCGAAAGCCUGACGGAGCAACGCCGCGUGAGUGAUGAAGGUCUUCGGAUCGUAAAACUCUGUUAUUAGGGAAGAACAAAUGUGUAAGUAACUGUGCACGUCUUGACGGUACCUAAUCAGAAAGCCACGGCUAACUACGUG